AUGCGCGCCACAAAUGUGACAAAUGAUGAUUACUCACAUGAUGAGUAUGCAUCACAAGAAUAUGAAACUCCACAAUAUGGUGAUGACAAUCUUGACAUGGAUAAUGAGGGCUUCAUUUUGAAGGGAAGAACCGCAAAUUAUACCACCAAAGAAGAUGUGUUGAUUUGCACCGCUUGGAAGAAUGUCUCUCAAGAUGCAAACGUUGGGACCGACCAAUCCGCUGUCACAUAUUGGCAACGCAUCAAGGAAUUCACACUAGCGGCCAUUAUCGCUCAAGUGACUCCAUUCGCCAACGUUGGGGCACCAUCAACGCCGAAUGUCAAAAGUGGGCGGGUUGCUUGGCAAAUGUUGAUCGCAUGA
rnacentral:rRNA from 1 species